GGAAUACAGGUUCGAAACAGCUGAAUCAGACGAGGAGGACUGGGUGGUUAUUCUCGACGUUGAGGAUGAUAGUUUAUGCUGUUCACCAGAUUCUUUGACAGACGUCGUGCUGAUAUCUACUGUUUCAGACCUAGAAGCAAGAGCCUCAUCACCAGAGUCUGUAGCGUCUGUGAGUGAGGUGAGAGCGCUCUCUCCAGACUCCCCCCUACCAGAAUUUACCGCUCCGCUGCCAGGGCGUGUCCAGAACCUGAGAUCCACAUCGUCCACACCUGAAACCUCAGCGUCUGAUGCAGAUCUCAUGCCCUGGUCCUGGGAGUCUGACUCUGCUGAAGGCAGACCGUCGUCUCCGGAGUCGGUUCAGUCUGAGGAUGAGCGUGAGGAAGACAGGCCACUGUCGCCUCAGUCGCUGCCCGAGUUCAGACCCGUGUCGUUCCAGUCCGCCGUGCACAUGAUUGACAGGAGGGCGUCGUCUCCGGAGUCGGUACCUGAGCACAACCAAAACCGGUCCCUGUCUCCAGACUCUCCCAUCCCGCAGUUUGUAGAGUUGCUGGAGGAAUACACGAUCACGUACUGGACCUCCUCACCGGAGGCCCUCAGUUCAGACUCAGAGUGUGAGCUGAUGGUCACGUCAUGGAGAGCCGCCGACGCCGACCGACCGUCCUCGCCGGAAUCCGUCUCGUCUGUCGGCGAGUUCAGACGACUCCUACCCGACUCCCCGGUACCUGAGUUCAUGAGGAUCUUAUCCUCCUAUUUUAUGGACGCCACCCCCGCUGACAGAUCGCCGUCGCCAGCGUCUGUAACGUCAGAGUCUGAGUUCGUGGCGUUACCGAUCGACUGCUGGAUCGACGACAGCCCCAGACCUCUGAGCCCUGACAGCUUUGAAUCGGGUGAGGACUCAGACUUUGGUUCUGACAGUCCUCGUAGGCUCGUCUCUGACACAGAGCUUUUGAGACAUCUCACGUCUCCAGACAAAAGGCCGAGGACAGCGUCACAAUCAUCACUUCAGACAAGCGAGACCGAGUCUGACCAGGAACCGUUUAGUCCCAAGUGGCAGCGCAGGAGCAUAUCUAAAGUUUUAAUACCUGAAGAAUGGAUUGAAUAUGGAUCAGAAGCUGGAGUGUCCUCAGCGUUACAAAGCUCUGCUCAUGAAGACCUCAUCAGUGAAGACUUGUCAGGAGGACAUGAAGACAGGGUCCUGAAGUCCUACAGAGAGAGCCAGACCACUUCUGAGAGGGCUCGUCCCGAGACGCCGCCGUCUCGGGAAGAUGAGGACGGUGAACAAGACACCAGUGAGACAGACGUGCUGGUCACUGAG
rnacentral:lncRNA from 1 species